UUCUGGGACACAUGAACAUCUAAGAAUUGACUCCUACAACUUCUGUAGGCAGCUUAGCCAGAAACAGGGUCAGUCCAGUGUCCACUUGCGAAGAUUAGUUAGGACAAGAGUUUCUCAGACAUGAUGACAUGCAUCUCAUGAUCCAUUUGUCAGACAUGAAGACGGGCACUUUCGGUCUGUGGGGGGGAAUCCACAUCUGGUUCCACCUUCAAGAAAGUCCUUACGUGUGGAAACUGGUUCUGAGAAGCAGAAGUCAGAGAGAAUGAACAUCAUUAACAGUCUCAUACUACAGCCUAAGGAAAGGGUGAAAAGAAUUUACAUUGGUCUUAUGGGCUGAACUAUUUCCUGGACUAUUUGUCAUGGACUCCAAAUUUGUCCCUCUAAACGUGUGUAUUGAAAUUCUAGUAUCCAGGAUUUGAGAAUGUGGCUGUACUUGGAUAUGGAGCCUUUAAAUAGGCAAUUAAAAUGAAUUGAGGUCAUAUAA